UAAGAGACAAUUGUUAAAUACAGACACACAUAGAAGGUAAGACACUACUGUUAGACAUACAUGGAAGGUAAGAGACUUUUGAUAAACACAGACACACAUGGAAGGUAAGAGACAAUUGUUAAACACAGACAAACAUGGAAGGUAAUAGACAUUUGUGAUACACAGACAAACGUGGAAGGAAAGAGGCUAUUGUUAGAUACAAGCAAACAUGGAAGGUAAGAGACAAUUGUUAAACACAGACAAACAUGGGAGGUAAGUUACUUUUUGUGUGUACAUAGGCACAUGAAAGGUAUGUAAAUGGUACGGUAUGACAUCAAUAUUCCAGAAAACACAUACAAGAUAUUUAGUCAGGUGGUCACUUAUUACAUUGAAUACCAGACUUUUGGAUCCCACUGUAUAACAGUGUAUUAUUAUUGUCUUUCAGAGGAGGUUUAUGUACAUGAGGGAGAGAGAAGGUGCAGGGGAGAGGGAGAACACUAGUUUCUGGCCAGAGUUGAAAAAGUUUUGGAAGUCAGUCGAGGAAGAGCAGACAGAGGAGAAGUGGAGGGGGAUAGAGGAGAGUGACAGUCGGAGGGUUGCACGUGCACGUGCAGCCCUCCGAGACAGGGAAACUUGAAUUUAUUGUAAAAAUAGAAAAAAUACAUUGAACAUAAGA